CAGGUUCCAGGUGUAGAUUUGCCGAAUCUAAUUUAUCAAGUAAGGGAAAUGCUAAGAUCAAUGAAUGAUGGGGAGAUUAGCAUCUCAACAUACAACACUGCUUGGGUUGCCCUAGUGUCGAGGCUAGAUGGUGGCGAUGGACCACAAUUCAUGACGUCCGUCAAGUGGAUCAUCAACAACCAGUUACCUGACAACUCUUGGGGUGAUGCAUCUUUGUUCUCUGCCUAUGACCGGAUGAUGAACACUCUUGCUUGUGUUGUAGCACUGACAAAGUGGUCUCUUGAACCUAUAAAAUGCAAGAGAGGACUCGCAUUUAUUGAGGAGAACAUGUGGAGGUUAACGAAGGAAGAUCUAGAGCCAAUGCCCGUUGGUUUUGAGAUUGCAUUCCCUUCUCUCAUAGAAGCAGCUAGGAGCCAAGGGAUUGAAUUUCCAUAUGACCACCCUGCUUUGAAGAGCAUAUAUGCUAACAGAGAAGUGAAGCUUAGGAUGAUUCCAAAGGAUAUAAUGCAUAACAUUCCGACAUCACUUCUAUAUAGUAUCGAAGGAAUGCCUGGAUUGGACUGGCAAAAGCUUUUGAAGCUACAGUCCUGUGAUGGCUCCUUCUUGUGUUCUCCUUCAGCUAAUGCUUACGCUCUUAUGCAAACUGGCGACAACAAAUGCUUUGAGUAUAUCAACAUGAUAGUCAAGAAAUUUAACGAGGCGGUUCCCAAUGUUUACCCUGUUGAUCUUCUUGAGCACCUCUGGGCUGUUGAUCGGCUGGAGCGUCUUGGGAUCUCACGAUACUUUGAGCGAGAGAUUGAAUAUUGCAUGGACUAUGUCAAAAGGUAUUGGACAGAAGAAGGGAUUUGCUGGGCUAGAAAUUCUAAUGUAAUGGAUUUGGAUGACACGUCUAUGGCUUUUCGACUACUGCGACUACAUGGAUAUAAUGUCUCCCCAUGUGUGUUUAAGCAUUUUGAGAAGGGUGGGGAGUUUUUUUGUUUACUUGGACAAUCGACUCAGGCAGUCACUGGGUUGUAUAACCUGAAUAGGGCCGCUCAAAUAAGUUUUCCUGGAGAGGAUAUCUUGCAGCAUGCUAGGGCUUUUUCAUAUGAGUAUCUUAGAGAAAGAGAAGUCCAGGGCACAAUUUGUGAUAAGUGGAUCAUUUCUAAGGAUUUGCCUGGUGAGGUACAAUACAUGCUGGACUUCCCUUGGUAUGCAAACUUGCCUCGUGAAGCAAGAACCUAUCUAGAUCAAUAUGGUGGUAGUGAUGAUGUAUGGAUUGGAAAGACAUUAUACAGGAUGCCACUUGUGAAUAAUAAUACCUAUAUGGAGUUGGCAAGACAUGAUUUCAACCGUUGCCAAGUUCUACAUCAGCUUGAGUGGCAUGGUUUGCAAAAAUGGUUUACUAGGAGUGGCCUCAAGGUUUUUUAGGUGGCACCAAAAGAUGUUUUAAGAACUUAUUUUUUAGCCGCUGCCAGCAUUUUUUAACCAAGCCGUGCCAAUGAGCGAUUUGCAUGGACAACAGUUUCAGUGCUUGCCAACACUAUUUCUACGCACCUUCGUAGCAAUUUGAUGAGAAAGGAAAGGAUGGUACAAUUUCUACAGCGUCGCCCCUAUGAAGAAAAUGACGACCCAUCGUGGUGAGCAUAUCAAAUCAAUAUUUAUGCAAAUUCAGUAAAAUGUAGUGAUCUAACAAAGCAUGCAUUCAGGCUUAAAGGAAAUAUGAAAGACGAAUUUCUUGCGAGUGCACUUCAACAACUUAUUGAUGCAUUAGCGCAAGAGGCACUACCUUCUUGCGAAGGACCAAACUAAAUCCACAAUCUCUUACAAUGUGCUUGGAACGAAUGGAUGAUGGAACAGAUAAACACUUAUGAUGACAAGUAUACAAAAUCUAGUAUUAUGCAACAAGGGCCAUGCCUGGUUAACAGAAAACAAACAUGCUUGCUUCUUGUUAAAGUUAUUGAGAUUUGUGCUGGACUAACUGUUGAAGUGCCAUCCAUGAUGAAUAGCAUGCAUGGUGCUCGAUUCAUUCAACUUGCAUCCUCUAUUUGUGACGAUCUUCACCAUAAGCAGUUACUUUCUCAGGACAACGAAAAAAACAAGGUAAUAAUAUACCGCAUUGAUUAAAAAGUUGAGUCUGACAUGCAAGAACUUGCUCAAUAUCAUCUCCAGAGGUGUGAUGAUACAACUAAUAACAGCAAGACAAAGCAAACCUUCAUGGAUGUUGUUAAAACAUGCUACUACGCUGCUAAUUGCCCGCAACAUAUGGUUGAUAAGCAUGUCUCAAGAGUUAUUUUUGAGCGUGUUAUUUGA
rnacentral:rRNA from 1 species